AGUGAACGCUGGCGGUAGGCCUAACACAUGCAAGUCGAACGGCAGCACAGUAAGAUCUUGCUCUUACGGGUGGCGAGUGGCGGACGGGUGAGGAAUACAUCGGAAUCUACUUUUUCGUGGGGGAUAACGUAGGGACACUUACGCUAAUACCGCAUACGACCUACGGGUGAACGCAGGGGAUCUUCGGACCUUGCGCGAUUGAAUGAGCCGAUGUCGGAUUAGCUAGUUGGCGGGGUAAAGGCCCACCAAGGCGACGAUCCGUAGCUGGUCUGAGAGGAUGAUCAGCCACACUGGAACUGAGACACGGUCCAGACUCCUACGGGAGGCAGCAGUGGGGAAUAUUGGACAAUGGGCGCAAGCCUGAUCCAGCCAUACCGCGUGGGUGAAGAAGGCCUUCGGGUUGUAAAGCCCUUUUGUUGGGAAAGAAAAGCAGCAGGUUAAUACCCCGCUGUUCUGACGGUACCCAAAGAAUAAGCACCGGCUAACUUCGUG
rnacentral:rRNA from 1 species